AGAGCGAACGCUGGCGGCAGGCCUAAAACAUGCAAGUCGAACGGACCCUUCGGGGUUAGUGGCGGACGGGUGGGUAACACGUGGGAACGUGCCUUUUGGUUCAGAACAACUCAGGGAAACUUGAGCUAAUACUGAAUAAGCCCUACGGGGGAAAGAUUUAUCGCCAUUAGAGCGGCCCGCGUUGGAUUAGCUAGUUGGUGAGGUAAAGGCUCACCAAGGCUACGAUCCAUAGCUGGUCUGAGAGGAUGAUCAGCCACACUGGGACUGAGACACGGCCCAGACUCCUACGGGAGGCAGCAGUUAGGAAUCUUGCGCAAUGGGCGAAAGCCUGACGCAGCCAUGCCGCGUGAAUGAUGAAGGUCUUAGGAUUGUAAAAUUCUUUCAGUGGGAAGAUAAUGACUGUACCCACAGAAGAAGCUCCGGCUAACUUCGUGCCAGCAGCCGC
rnacentral:rRNA from 1 species